UCUAUAGUCCAUUAAUCAGUAAAUACUUAAAAAACCAAAAUAUCUGUCUUAGUAAAUACAUAGUUAAAAGCUAACUUGUGAAUAUCUGUGUACUAUUUUCUCUCUCUUUGCUCCUGACCUCAUGUCUCUCCGUGCUCAGCGGGGAAUGCACGGCUGACUACAUCACUGCUUUCAGAGCGCUGUCCUGCGCACUUGUCACAGAACCUCCAGACAAAAUCUCGCUCUGUUACCCAGGCUGGAGAGCUGUGGAGUGAUCUCAGCUCACUGCAAUCUCUGCUUCCCAGGUUCAAGUGAUUCUCCUGCCUCAGCCUCCUGAGUAGAUGGGAUUACAGGCACACAUCACCACACCCAGCUAAUUUACUCAGGAACUUUUAAUUUUUGCUAUCAUAUACAUGCUGUUGCUGUGUUUCUUAUUUGAUAAAAUAUAUUUCAUUCUCUACUGUUU
rnacentral:lncRNA from 13 species